GACGAACGCUGGCGGCGUGCUUAACACAUGCAAGUCGAACGGUGACGGAGAGCUUGCUCUCCUGAUCAGUGGCGAACGGGUGAGUAACACGUGGGCAACCUGCCCCAGACUUCGGGAUAACUGCCUGAAAGGGUGGCUAAUACCGGAUGCGGUGAUCUGGACGCAUGUUCGGAUCACGAAAACUACGAUGCUGAAGGAUGGGCCCGCGUCCCAUUAGCUAGUUGGUGAGGUAACGGCCCACCAAGGCGACGAUGGGUAGCCGGCCUGAGAGGGUGGACGGCCACACUGGGACUGAGACACGGCCCAGACUCCUACGGGAGGCAGCAGUCGGGAAUCUUCCACAAUGGGCGAAAGCCUGAUGGAGCGACGCCGCGUGAGGGAAGAAGGUCUUCGGAUCGUAAACCUCUGUCCUCAGGGACGAUAAUGACGGUACCUGAGGAGGAAGCCACGGCUAACUACGUG
rnacentral:rRNA from 1 species